CUACGGGGCGCACCAGCUACGAAACUUCUACAAUGCACGCAAGUGUGAUAGAGGGACCCCCAGUGCUUAUACAAUGUAUAGGCUUUUGCCAAAGGUAGAUUCUUUGGCGAAUAAGUGAUGGGCAAGACCGGUGCCAGCAGCCGCGGUAAUACCGGCGUCACGAGUGGCAAUCGCGUUUAUUGGGUCUAAAGCGUUCGUAGCCGGUUUAGUAAAUCUUUUGUGAAAUUGUCGGGCUUAACUCGACACCGUGCAGAGGACACUGCUAAACUUGUGACCGGGAGGGGCCAGAAGUAUUUCAGGAGGAGCGGUAAAAUGUUAUAAUUCUCGAAAGACUACCAAUGGCGAAGGCAUCUGGCCAGAACGGAUCUGACGGUGAGGAACGAAGGCUAGGGGAGCGAACUGGAUUAGAUACCCGCGUAGUC
rnacentral:rRNA from 1 species